rnacentral:rRNA from 1 species
UGGGUGACUGCGUACCUUUUGUAUAAUGGGUCAGCGACUUAUAUUCUGUAGCAAGGUUAACCGUAUAGGGGAGCCGCAGGGAAACCGAGUCUUAACUGGGCGUUAAGUUGCAGGGUAUAGACCCGAAACCCGGUGAUCUAGCCAUGGGCAGGUUGAAGGUUGGGUAACACUAACUGGAGGACCGAACCGACUAAUGUUGAAAAAUUAGCGGAUGACUUGUGGCUGGGGGUGAAAGGCCAAUCAAACCGGGAGAUAGCUGGUUCUCCCCGAAAGCUAUUUAGGUAGCGCCUCGUGAACUCAUCUUCGGGGGUAGAGCACUGUUUCGGCUAGGGGGUCAUCCCGACUUACCAACUCGAUGCAAACUGCGAAUACCGAAGAAUGUUAUCACGGGAGACACACGGCGGGUGCUAACGUCCGUCGUGAAGAGGGAAACAACCCAGACCGCCAGCUAAGGUCCCAAAGUCAUGGUUAAGUGGGAAACGAUGUGGGAAGGCCCAGACAGCCAGGAUGUUGGCUUAGAAGCAGCCAUCAUUUAAAGAAAGCGUAAUAGCUCACUGGUCGAGUCGGCCUGCGCGGAAGAUGUAACGGGGCUAAACCAUGCACCGAAGCUGCGGCAGCGA